rnacentral:rRNA from 1 species
UCCACCUAACUUUAAUACUAAAUACGCGUCUAAUACUACUUAUUGUAACUAACUAGCACAUAUAAAUAUCUGCCCUUGAUCUAACAUUUUAACUCCAUUCCAUCUAAAGACUAUCUAAAUAACGGUGUACAUAAUUUAAAAAGAAAGAUAGAGUCCCAUCCAUUAAGCGCAAGUUCCCCUAAUUAAUAUGAGCCGC